AUGAGUAAAUUACUUGUCAUAGCCCUCCUGCUGCUGCCUCUGAUCAACAAUGGAAUCUACUUGGCCAUGGCAUGGGAUGAUCAAGAUUUCUUCAAAUACUGCCCACCUUCCAAGUGCAGCCAACAUGGCCCAGAGGUCAGGUUUCCUUUCUGCCUUGAAUCCAGCAAUACAUCAGCAGCAGCAGCAGCAUCAUGUGGAUGUAGCGGCACCGGCGGAUUAACCAGGAUGUUAGCAUGCUCUGGUCAAGACACCAUCCUAGUUCACCCAGUUCUUGGCUCAUACAGUGUCAGUGCCAUAGAUUACAGACAUUCUUCGGUGAAGCUCAUCCCACUUGUAGACCCCUGUUUGGUGCUACAGCAGAACCUCGUCAUCUCCAGAAACUGGUCGUCUCGACAAGUUGAUGUUAUCGACGGCAUGCAGCUGCCUGAUCGUGAUCGGCAAUUCUCAAUUUGGUCAUAUAGCAAUGCAAACCUGGUAUGCUGUUCAAGUGAGUUCACACCUGCUGCUGCACAUGCCGAUAGCAUCGCAGGCCCAGUCUCCUGCCUUAGCAACACAACCCACUUCUUUUAUUUGGUGGAUGGUUAUGAAGGCAUGUCCAUUCUUCCAUUGGACUGCAAGGUUUUCCCAGUCUCAGAUGGCAUCGGUGGCCGCCUGAUACCCAUGUAUAAAUUUGGGGAACGGAUAUCAGACACAUUCUUGUCAUCGUCCUUUAAGGAAAGCGCAGAAAGAAUGCUCAGUUUUGCUGAGAUGACAGUGUAUUGGUACUAUUAUUUGCAUUGCAUGCUAUGUGAACUCAGUGGGCAACGCUGCGCGUUCAGCUCACAAAGGAAUGAACAAUUCUGCAUGCCUGACCCUCAUGGUUCACGUAUCAAAGUCAUUGCAGCUACAUCAUCGGUGGCCGCAUUUGUCGUUCUUUUGGUGACGGUGGCCACUGUGCUUUAUUUUUCACUCAAGACAAGAUAUAAUGCGGAGAUACACAUGAGGGUCGAAAUGUUUCUCAAGACAUAUGGAGCAUCGAAACCCACGAGAAUCCUUCUAGUACCAGAGAAGCUCCUAGAUAUUGCUUUAGGCAUCGCCCGAGGAAUGGAAUACUUGCAUCAAGGGUGCAACCAGCGCAUCCUCCACUUUGACAUUAAGCCUCACAAUAUCCUGCUGGACUACAACUUCAAUCCAAAGAUCUCAGACUUUGGCCUGGCGAAGUUGUGUGCAAGGGACCAAAGCAUCGUCACCUUAACAGCGGCAAGAGGCACAAUGGGCUACAUUGCACCAGAGCUAUAUUCUCGGAACUUUGGGGGAGUAUCGUACAAGUCAGACGUGUACAGUUUCGGCAUGCUGGUGCUAGAAAUGGUGAGCGGGAGGAGGAAUUCAGACCCAAGAAUCGGGAGCCAGGACGAUGUUUACCUCCCUGAGUGGAUCUACGAGAAAGUGAUCAAUGGGGAGGAGUUGGCGCUUACUUUGGAAGCGACUGAAGAAGAGAAAGAAAAGGUGAGGCAGCUGGCUAAUGUCGCACUGUGGUGUAUCCAGUGGAACCCAAGAAACCGGCCGUCGAUGACGAAGGUCGUUAACAUGCUAACUGGGAGGCUUCAGAGUCUGCAGAUGCCACCAAAGCCUUUCGUCUCAUCUGAGAAUGAACUUAUGCCAUAA
rnacentral:rRNA from 1 species